UACGUAGGGUGCAAGCGUUGUCCGGAAUUAUUGGGCGUAAAGAGCUCGUAGGCGGUCUGUCGCGUCGAAUGUGAAAAUCCGAGGCUCAACCUCGCGCCUGCAGUGGGUACGGGCAGACUGGAGUGCGGUAGGGGAGACUGGAAUUCCUGGUGUAGCGGUGAAAUGCGCAGAUAUCAGGAGGAACACCGGUGGCGAAGGCGGGUCUCUGGGCCGUAACUGACGCUGAGGAGCGAAAGCGUGGGGAGCAAACAGG
rnacentral:rRNA from 1 species